rnacentral:rRNA from 1 species
AUGGACGCUGUGUUUAUACCUUCUGCCAGCCCUCUGGGUUUAUCUUGUGGAUCUAUUCUCAUGGAGUCGGUUGAGCUAUCCAGCACAUCACUGGCUGAAGCAAUGUUCGAGAAACUCGGUCUUCCUAAACCAGUGUAUUUUGUGCAUCAUCUUUCACAAGAUCGAUUUAGAACAGAGAUUCAAUUUCACCGCACAAAAGCACGGUACGAUGCUUCAGCGCGCCGGACUAAAGUAUCAAGCCGUACAUGUCAGAAUGGGGUAGCAUCAAUGAAUCAUGCACUCGAUAAGGCCAUCGAAUACAUGCAGAACAGAGAGGGUAAGGUGCUUGUGGACUAUAACUAUUAUCAGCUAGAGCAAAUGAAAAUGGCACAUACAAGAUUAUCAACCAGGUUGCCAGAACAGUCAGAUGAAAUCAACCAGCACAUCAAAACCAUCAAGCAGAUAACUAAAGAAGCAUGCAACUAUGUGGAACAAGUGCGCAAUGCAUCAAACAGAAUACAAGACCUUGCUGCCGUUUUCUUGGACCCUGCUACCUCAAUGUGUGUUUCUAAUAUGAAGCAAGCUAUCAUGGAGAUUCACAGUUCAAUUGUCGUGCUUCAAAGCUCUACAACUACGACAUCUCGGUUCCUAGAGGAAAAAGGCAUGUACUCAGAUGAUGAAGUGCCUGAACAAAGCUACAGUGGUCACUUAGAUGAAGAUUCAGCCGAUGAUAUUCAUCAACACCUGGAUGAUGACUAUGUCCCAUCGCCAUGA